rnacentral:rRNA from 1 species
GACGAACGCUGGCGGCGUGCCUAAUACAUGCAAGUAGAACGCAGUUGCGAACGGGUGAGUAACGCGUAGGUAACUGCCUCAUAGCGGGGGAUAACUAUUGGAAACGAUAGCUAAUACCGCAUACUGUGAGAUGGACCUGCGUUGUAUUAGCUAGUUGGUGAGGUAAAGGCUCACCAAGGCGCAGAUACAUAGCCGACCUGAGCGGUUGAACGGCCACACGAGGAAUUGAACACGGCCCAGGAUCCUACGGGAGGCAGCAGUAAGGAAUCUUCGGCAAUGGACGGAAGUCUGACCGAGCAACGCCGCGUGGAUGAAGAAGGUUUUCGGAUCGUAAAGCUCUGUUGUUAGAGAAACGGUAACUAACCAGAAAGGGACGGCUAACUACGUGCCAGCCGCCGCGGUAAUUC